UGUGAGAGAUCAGACCUGGGCAGAUGUGAGUGCCCCAGGCCAUGGACAAGUUCACAGGCAGGAGAGACAGGGGUGUCCUAACUUGCCUUCAGAAAGACUCCAGGGUGAAAAAAGUUGGUGUCCUGCCUGCCUUUUCCUUGAUCCUGAACAAAACUGCCAGUCUUAACUUUUCAGUCCGGUUUGCCACACCCACAGGAGGUGGGAGGAGACGUGGAAGCACAAAUUUUCAUUAAAAGAAAAACCAAUUUUCUUUGGGAAUAACCUACCUCAAGGGGACCUGAAAGGGUCAGAGCACUGGUUCCAGUAUGAGCCAAGCUGAGACUGGAAAUCUUUAAAUUAAUCAAUUCUCCUAUUGAAGACUUUCCCAAAUUGGUAUUUAUCACUCAGAGCCUGUCAGGAAGUCUCUGUGAAUCUAGGGAGUGUGCCAGUAUGUUAUGGAUGAUAUUGUAAUUGUUCACUCCUGUCAGCAUUGUCUCUUUGUGUAGAGUUUGUACAUAAACAACUUGUGAGUGUUCAACCUUCAGCAUUAUUUCCUGUGUAUUAGUCACUGGUCAUGUGACUUAUUUUUCUUGAAAGGAGUGAAAAAACCAGGAAGAAACAUCUUAAGGAAACUCCCCAUGGAAGACAGAAGAACACUUUUUUUCCCUGAAUUCAUCUCAUCAUCACACAAAAUUUGGGAAAGGGCAGGUUGUGUGAACUGCAUGCAGGAGACAAAGUCAGCCCACCCAGCAUGGGGUGAGUGAGGUUAGGACUGGAUGUGCAAAUGGCAGAGCUGAUCAGAUAGCCCAGGAAAUUCCCUGGCCCUUCUCUCAGAGAAAUCAAAAUGAACCUUUCCCACCAUUCUCUGCUGCUGCUUUAUCAUCUCUGUCUUGUCUUGGCUCUGCAUUCUGGAACCUUAAAACCCAGCAUCAGGGACAGCCCUAAUGGUGUUUCCAAACUCUUUUUUUUUUGUUUUUUUACUUAGCAAUGGUGAAACAAAACCCUCUGACUGUGAGGCCUUUGGUGCAGCUGCCUUGUGUUGCUCAAGUUCUUGUUGAGUAGAAAUAACUGCAAACUGUUCACCAGUUCCACCCUGUCUUUUCCCUCUGUGCCCAUUAUAUAAGGCUGUUUUGAUAAGCCUGUGUGAUGAAAUCAUAUACACAUAUAGUACAAUAAUAAUAUCAACCUCAUAAUGACUAGGGAGAGGAUAAAAAAUGUCGGCUUUAUCAAAAAAAUGAUCUCUUUUAACAACAAAUUGUAACUAAUUAGACUUUGAAUGGGAAAUCAAAUGAAAGUGCAUGAAGGCUCAAUUUUCCAUACAGCUGACGUUCUGACCUUUUUAGGAGUGGAAAAGAAAAUUAUUUUUAAUUAACAUGACUAAUCAUUUCCUGUCAUUUUCAGAUAAUUGGCUUUGUCGAAAAAAAUGAGUUGUUUUGGGGGAAAACUGGGGAGGGUGACAGUGGCAGCUCUACUGGCAUGUUUAACCUUUUAGACUCUGCCUGCAAAAGGAAUUUUGAAUCCUUGUUAUCAUGGUGAAAAGGCUUUAUAUGGAAAUUUGGUGCCCUACGCCUCUUCCUUUCCAUAUGGCUGAUACAAAUUCAUGCAUAGGGAAAAAUCUGACACACUGCUAGACUUCUUUCACUUUGAAAUAGUCCCUUAUUUUAAAAAAGCAGAGAUGGUUAGCUAACAAACUGUUUUCUGGUACAUCUUGAGGCCAUGCACAUGAUCCGGGACUGAGGGUCAAAUCCUGGAGUCCUCAAUAAAUUCUGCUCCAGCAAGCUGGGAAUUUGGCUUGAGUGAGUGUAGCCAACUUUUAUUCUGACUGAACAACAAGCAACCAAGUGCUGUAAAGACUUUUUCAUUGUACCUGCUUGCUGGAAACGUGAAAAUGAAAAUCCUAGGAAAAUAGAAAUCCUAGGACAUGAGGUAUGAGCUCUUUUAAGCAGCACUGAAACCUGGUGUGUUGGAGGCUUUCCUAGGCAAUCGUUGUGAGGUUUUAAUGCACACUUCAAGGGACAGGCAGACUUGUUGGAGAGAGACCAAAGGAAAGCAGGAAGAUCAAAUGACUGAAACACGACCUGCAAGCAAAGACUGAACAGCCUGGGAUCGUUCAGCUAAGAGAAGAGAAAAUUCAGUGGGGAUCUUAAGUUUUGAAUAACAUUAAAAAGACACUCAGAAAGGCAGUAAUCUGUCCUUUGCUUUCACUUGGUUGGGUAAGUAGAAGCAAGAAUAAAUUGCAGGAAAGUCUCAGAAGAGAUAUUAGGAAAAACUUCCAAGUGAUGAAGAGAGCAGAGCACCAGGAACUCAGUAAAGUCCCUGCCUCUGGUAGUUUUAAAUGGGACAAACAUCUGUGAGGGAUGAUAGGAGGACAGUUCACCCUGCCUUGGGGCAGGGAAAUGCAUCUCCUGCUCUGCUGAAGUUCCUUUCAAAUGUGAUUCCCAUAAUUGUAUAGGGCAAACCAUUCCUGUUUAGUAUCAACAAGCGGGAUAAGACUCUAAAAUAAUGAGCAGGCUUUGAUACAGAACAAAGACAUGAGCAUGUAGAAGGUGAGCAGCAAUCAACAUUGGAUGUAAAUGCAGCCACCAGAAAAGAAACCCACAUGAAGCAACUGAGUCAAUACACACAGAACCUUUGUCCCAGCAAGCAGCUGUAGCCUGGUGCCUGCCUGUGCACUGCUCUGCUGGGUCAGCAUGCCCAGAAGUUUCUCAGGCUCUGGGGCUGUUACUGGUACAGCCAUAAAAUGGUCCCUGAUAUAAUUUGCUUGAUGUGGUGUUAUCUGACCAGUGUGGAUUGUGGGACCAGGCUGGUGGCAUUCACCCUGGUGUCUCUUGGAAUGACAGUGAUGGAGGCACUGACACAGAGAAGGAACAACCCAGCCUCUUACUCCUUUAUUCAGAAAAAAAGGAACUAAUUUCAUGGUUCUUUCACUCCACCCCUAUGAAAAAUAAACCCAGAAAAAUUUGGUUUAUAUUAAAUUUAUACUUCAUAUAAAAGAAAUAUCUGUGACUUUCAAUUUUUCCAACCCCCUUUUUCUCCCAUUGCCUCCACUUACAGAGCACUCCAGCUUCAGUAGGAUGGGGAACAAGCAGCAUAAAUUCCUAAACUAUAUAACAGCAGCAACUCCUGUCCUUUCGUCUUAUUUAACUGACAUAUUCCAUAGCUGAGAAAUCCCCUAUUUUGCUGAUAUCAAAACCAUGGAGUCAUUUCUAUGCAUGAAACAGAUCAGAACAAGUUCCACUAAUGACUAAGAGAUGUAUUUGGGAGUGGAGAAUUCUACAAAUUAGCAAUCAAACACAAUAAAAAAAUCAAAGGUACUGCAUUACAAAAUACACUUUGUUCAUUUAUUUUAACAAGUAUCACUUAUUUUCAAUUAUUUACAGUGCUAGUUAGUGUGCUCAUAAAGUACUGUGGCAUAUUGAGUUAAAAGUAAUGGAUUCUUAGUGCUGAGAAAUCUCAGCAGAGCACUGCUAUUAAACACUGGUAGGAAUGGAAAGGUAAUGUUAUGGUGAGCUGCUUUCUGGGCUUUUUGUGCUUGUUGUGGAACAAAUUUUGAUGGGGUGAAGAUAAUUGGGUCUGCAGAUUAAGGGAGUUAAGAAUUAGUUGAGUUCUCACCGUGAAGAGUUUUGUAAAUUCCCACAUCAAUCUUUAUGUCUUCCAGCUCAUCUCUCCCUUAACAAAUCCAGCAUUCAGGGCCUUAUCUCAGGGUGUCCUUUCCAGUCUGAAUUCUCUGGCUUUUUUCAGCUGCUCAUCAUUUAAAGACAGUUAUUUUUCUGGCAUUUCAUUUCCUGCUUUUUUCCUCCUCUUCUUGCAUCUUUUAUAGAUGGUGAUAAAUGUGAAUAACAAUGUGCCCAGUUUGAAAGACAGAGUGUAAAACCCAAUUCCAUUCGAUUUCUCUUUUAUUCUAACUUUAAGCCUCAGAUUUGCCCAUGUCUCACUCCCCUGGACCUGUCACCUAAAUUAAA